rnacentral:rRNA from 1 species
GACGAACGCUGGCGGCGUGCUUAACACAUGCAAGUCGAACGGAAAGGCCCUGCUUUUGUGGGGUGCUCGAGUGGCGAACGGGUGAGUAACACGUGAGUAACCUGCCCUUGACUUUGGGAUAACUUCAGGAAACUGGGGCUAAUACCGGAUAGGAGCUCCUGCUGCAUGGUGGGGGUUGGAAAGUUUCGGCGGUUGGGGAUGGACUCGCGGCUUAUCAGCUUGUUGGUGGGGUAGUGGCUUACCAAGGCUUUGACGGGUAGCCGGCCUGAGAGGGUGACCGGCCACAUUGGGACUGAGAUACGGCCCAGACUCCUACGGGAGGAAGCAGUGGGGAAUAUUGCACAAUGGGCGGAAGCCUGAUGCAGCAACGCCGCGGGCGGGAUGACGGCCUUCGGGUUGUAAACCGAUUUCGCCUGUGACGAAGCGUGAGUGACGGUAAUGGGUAAAGAAGCACCGGCUAACUACGUG